rnacentral:rRNA from 1 species
GCAUAUCAAUAAAGCGGAGGA